rnacentral:rRNA from 1 species
AUUGAACGCUGGCGGCAUGCUUUACACAUGCAAGUCGAACGGUAACAGGUUAAGCUGACGAGUGGCGAACGGGUGAGUAAUGCAUCGGAACGUGCCCGGUCGUGGGGGAUAACACUUCGAAAGAAGUGCUAAUACCGCAUACGAUCUGAGGAUGAAAGCGGGGGACCGUAAGGCCUCGCGCGAUCGGAGCGGCCGAUGUCAGAUUAGGUAGUUGGUGGGGUAAAGGCCCACCAAGCCGACGAUCUGUAGCUGGUCUGAGAGGACGACCAGCCACACUGGGACUGAGACACGGCCCAGACUCCUACGGGAGGCAGCAGUGGGGAAUUUUGGACAAUGGGCGCAAGCCUGAUCCAGCAAUGCCGCGUGCAGGAAGAAGGCCUUCGGGUUGUAAACUGCUUUUGUACGGAGCGAAAAGGCUCUCUCUAAUACAGGGGGCUGAUGACGGUACCGUAAGAAUAAGCACCGGCUAACUACGUGCCAGCCGCCGCAGUAACAC